GUAGGUGAACCUGCGGAAGGAUCAUUACAAAAUAGCUUUGGGAGUGGGUGUUAGGAUGAAAGUUCUGAUGCCUGCUCACAUAUGCCCACUCCCGAAAGGGAGCUGGACUAGCACACUUUGUGUGUUAAAUAGACUUUAAAUCAUGACUUUAACAUUUUUAAAAUAACCAAAACUUUUAACAAUGGAUCUCUUGGCUCUUGCAUCGAUGAAGAACGCAGCAUCUGACUGACUGGUAGACUUCGUAUCUCGU
rnacentral:misc_RNA from 1 species